rnacentral:tRNA from 1 species
GGCCUCGUAGCUCAGCUGGUGGAGCAUGCGCGUACAAAGCGUAGGCGGUGUCCAUGCGUGGGUUCGAAUCCCACCGAGGCUA